rnacentral:lncRNA from 1 species
UUAUUUAUUCAUAUUAUAUUCAUAUCGAAUAAUCGAAUCGUGUCAAAAUUUAAGAGCGAUACAUAAAAUUGAAAGUUGGCUAAAGCAUUUAUUAUUUAAUCACAUUCACAAUUUUUUGAGAUAUGACGAAUUUAGAAAUCAUGCUUUAGGAAUGAUAGUGUUGAACUUCUGACACAAUCUAAUGCUGCUUUGUGCAAGUACUUUUUUGACCCGUAAUCAAUUAAUACAUAGAGAGGCCAACUUAAGAGUCAACCUACCAUGUAGCGCUGUAUCUCAUACAGCGCAUGCAUGCAACCGGUACAAUCGGUUUUUAAUCGGAUAAUAUAAUGAAAAUUAUA